rnacentral:rRNA from 1 species
UGCCAGCAGCCGCGGUAAUACGGAGGGGGCUAGCGUUGUUCGGAAUUACUGGGCGUAAAGCGCUCGUAGGCGGAUUGGUCAGUCAGAGGUGAAAGCCCAGGGCUCAACCUUGGAAUUGCCUUUGAUACUGCCAGUCUUGAGUUCGGGAGAGGUGAGCGGAAUUCCGAGUGUAGAGGUGAAAUUCGUAGAUAUUCGGAAGAACACCAGUGGCGAAGGCGACUCACUGGCACAUUUCUGACGCUGAGGCGCGAAAGCGUGGGGAGCAAACAGGAUUAGAUA